AUUAUCUUCCUCAUUCAGAUACUAGUCGCAUCAUGAGACACAUUCUCACUUUGGCCUUUGUUCUUGUUUUAGUAACAGUGCAUAUUGAAGCGCGUUGCAAGUACUUCAACAAAGGCUGUUUCUUUCCUAAGUCCGUGGAGAGUGCUUUUGUAAAGCGAUUUGGUGAAUGCCGAAUUAAAUGUUCCACGAGUCCCCGGAAAUCUGAGAUCAACUAUGCCUACACCCCGUUCCCGGCCAAUGUUUUCGGAUUGAGGUGUCUUUGCCUCACUAAAUGCGAUCUGAGACCUAACGCUGGAUCAAUUGUGGCCACAUCUGGAGAUGACAUCGACCUGUCCAAUAUAUGCAAGAAAUAGAAUCAGUCUUCAUAGUCUAGCAUGCUCUCAUAUUCCAUCACACAACCUGACCAUAAUGAUUGUUUUCAAACUGCUCGACAAUGGGGAAUCUUGAUUGAAUAAACAUGCUAAAGAAGCAAUCUAA